GGGGCUGAUUCUGGAUUCGACGGGAUUUGCGAAACCCAAGGUGCAUGCCGAGGGGCGGUUGGCCUCGUAAAAAGCCGCAAAAAAUAGUCGCAAACGACGAAAACUACGCUUUAGUAGCUUAAUAACCUGCUUAGAGCCCUCUCUCCCUAGCCUCCGCUCUUAGGACGGGGAUCAAGAGAGGUCAAACCCAAAAGAGAUCGCGUGGAAGCCCUGCCUGGGGUUGAAGCGUUAAAACUUAAUCAGGCUAGUUUGUUAGUGGCGUGUCCGUCCGCAGCUGGCAAGCGAAUGUAAAGACUGACUAAGCAUGUAGUACCGAGGAUGUAGGAAUUUCGGACGCGGGUUCAACUCCCGCCAGCUCCACCA
rnacentral:tmRNA from 1 species